GUACGGCCAUCUUUGAUUAGGGCACACCUGUUUACAGCUUUAGAAAUGAAAUUGGGCUAAAUCGUGGUUGCUAGGCAACGUAUUUUACUGUCGCCAUCUUUGAAAGGGGUAUUGUAUUGGCCGCCGUAAAAUGAAAAAGGCACACGGAAUGUGGUUGCUAGGCAACGCCUUGCCACUGUCGCCAUCUUUGAGCCGGGAACAGCUGUUUACUAAUUUAGAAUAAAAAUCAUUAUAGCCUACAUGACGGUUGCUACUCAACGCCUUGGGACUGUCUUUGCUUCGAACUGGGCUCUCCGUUUUCUUUGCUAAAUAAAUAGAGUCAGACCACUUCAGGGAGAGAUUACGAAACUUUGCGAGCGCAAUUAGCGGCCUUCUUUGUUAGGGGCAUCAUGACUUCCGGCUGGGGCGGAAAGGAACUUAACGGGGUUUGGGGGAGGUGGUGGAAUAGUGGUUGAGGAUCUGCUUGAGUUGGAUGAGGAAGGCCGAGAUUUAGUCCUUUUCCUACUAGCUCUCCAUCUUGCCUUCUGGCGGCUUGGAACGGCCGGCCGACUUAAUGUGACUACCGACAGGCUCCACGGCGUGCCCUGACCGUUCCCUCGUAGAGGACUGGGGGGGUUCCAAAUGGGGGAGGAGGGGACGGGAGGCACCGUGCAUCUAUUAUGCCUCGCGUCCUCUAGCGGGGUCCCCCUGUUCUGCAGGAGCAGCCGCGGCGGCGUCCCCACCCGCCAGCAGCUCCCGUUCUCUGUCAUCGGCUCCCUCAAUGGAGUCCACAUGUUCGGACAGAAUCUGGAGGUGCAGCUGAGCUCUGCAAGGACUGAGGACACGACCGUGGUGUGGAAAAGCUUCCAUGACAGCAUCACCCUCAUUGUUCUGUCAUCUGAGGAGAGCAGCUCAGAACUGCAGUUGGAGAGACUACUCGAGAUGGUGUUUGGGGCUAUGGUUCUUCUUGUGGGACUUGAAGAACUGACCGACAUCCGCAACAUAGAGAGACUAAAGAAGGAGUUGAGGGCCAGUUACCGCAUCAUUGACAGCUUCCUGGCGGACUCUGAGCUCAUUGGGGACCUGACCCAGUGUGUGGACUGCGUGGUCUCUCCGGAGGGGUCCCUCCUGCAGGAAGCCCUCUCCGGGUUCGCCGAGGCCACCAGCACAGCCUUCGUCAGCCUGGUGGUGUCGGGCCGGGUGGUGGCAGCCACAGAGGGCUGGUGGAGGCUGGGGAUGCCCGAGGCCGUGUUGCUCCCCUGGCUGCUGGGAUCUCUGCCGCCGCAGACCGCUCGUGACUACCCGGUGUACCUGCCCCACGGGAGCCCCACGGUCCCGCACAGGCUCCUGACCCUGACGCUGCUGCCGGGCCUGGAGCUGUGUCUGCUCUGCGGGCCGCGACCGCCCCUCAGCCAGCUGGAUCCACAGGUCCUGGAGCGUUGGUGGCAGCCGCUGCUUGAGCCGCUUAGGGCCUGCGUGCCACUGGGACACCGUGCGCUGCCUGCAGGCUUCUCCCUGCACACGGACAUCCUCGGGCUGCUGCUUCUCCACCUGGAACUGAGACGUUGCCUGUUCACGGUGGAGCUCUCAGGGGACAAAGAGCCUCCCCUGGAUCAACGGCGGCGCCUCCUCCGCUCCUUCUACACCCUGGUCACUUCUAUGCACUUCCCACCAGGUCAGCCGUGGGCAGUGUCCAAUCUCACAGGCAGGAGCCCUGAGCCCCAGGUCGCACAGUGGGGCAGUGAGGGCUGGGUUAGAGAAUCUGGUUGGAGAAACCAGUACGUACUGGGAGUAGCAUUCCUGGAGUCCUCAGUGUUGACUGAGCCUGCAGGUUUCAAAACCUGCUGGAUAACCCUAACAGUUACCAGUGAAGCCUCAUCUGCUAGUCACUGACCCAAGUGCUCUCGUAGGUAAUGACUCAUUUUCUCCCCACAUUCCAGAUGAAGAAACUGAGGCUCGGCUAGUAAGGAGCAGAACCACGAUUCAAAUAAAGGUGGUCUGGCUCCCAAGACUGCAUUAAACCACUCCACUCUAUGGCUUAAAGCACAAGCUUUGCCUAUGGUUUUCAGGGGGAGAGUGACAUGGAGCCCAAGUUAGGAAGAGUUGUAGAAUCCCUGAGACCUCAGUUCUUCUUGUUAAUCUCAUGGUAACUGGGCCCAGGAAGACAAGCAAGGACCUAAAUGAUGCUAUAACCCCAGGGAAGACACCGAUGAAUAGGGCAAAAUGAGCCAGGGCCGCCGGAGGAGAAGGCAGAGGACUUAGUCCAGCGGACCCAGCUACCUCGAGCCUGCUACCUGGUGUCGGGGCCUGAGGAGCCAGACACAGGGUGGCGGC